rnacentral:rRNA from 1 species
UUAGAUUUUAUUUAUUAAUUUUAUAAAUUUUAUUCAAAAGUAUUAAAAUCAAUUAUAUUGGAAAAAGUUUUAGUAUUGUUUAAAGAAAAAAUAAUUUUAAUAAUAGUUUAAUAGUAUUGUAAAAGAAAAUUGAAAUAUUUUGAAAAAUUUUUAUUUUAAAAGAAAAUUUAAUUUAUUGUACCUUGUGUAUCAGCGUUUAUUAAAUAAAAAAUAUUUAAAUAUAUUUUUCUCGAUUUUAAAAGAGUUAAUAUAAUAUAAAAGUUAAUGUGAUAAAAUUAUUUUAAAUAUUAUAUUAGAAAUGAAAUGUUAUUCGUUUUUGAAGGUAUCUAGUUUUUCGAGAAAUAAAUUUAAUUUAGAAAUUGUAAAUUUAUUUAAAAAAUUUUUUUAAUUAAAUAAUUUAUAAUUUUAAUAUUUUAUGGGAUAAGCUAUAAAAUAAAUUUUUAUAAAUAAUAAAUAAAUUUAAAAAAUAUAUGCUUAGAAUUAGCAAUUAUUAAAAAUUGUGUUAUAAUUUAUUUUAUAAAUUAAAUUAUUUAUUAUAUUUUAAAUUUUUAUCGAAAUAUUAAUUUUAAUUUUUAAAAUUAAGUAAUAAUGAUAGAAUUAGUAUAUUUUAUUGUAAAAUAAAUUUAAGUGAUAAGUUUAAAUAAAGAAUUCGGCAAAAAUAAUAUCCGCCUGUUUAACAAAAACAUGUCUUUUUGAAUUAAAUUUAAAGUCUAACCUGCCCACUGAAAAAUUUUAAAUGGCCGCAGUAUUUUAACUGUGCAAAGGUAGCAUAAUCAUUAGUCUUUUAAUUGAAGGCUGGAAUGAAUGGUUGGACGAGAUAUUAACUGUUUCAUUUAAAUUUUUUAUAGAAUUUUAUUUUUUAGUCAAAAAGCUAAAAUUUAUUUAAAAGACGAGAAGACCCUAUAAAUCUUUAUAUUUUAUUUAUUUUAAUUAUAAAGAUUAUUUUUAUUAUAAUAAAUUAAAAUAUUUUAUUGGGGUGAUAUUAAAAUUUAAAAAACUUUUAAUGAUUUAAAUCAUUAAUGUAUGAAUAUUUGAUCCAUUUAUAAUGAUUAAAAAUUUAAGUUACUUUAGGGAUAACAGCGUAAUUUUUUUGGAGAGUUCAUAUCGAUAAAAAAGAUUGCGACCUCGAUGUUGGAUUAAGAGAUAAUUUUGGGUGUAGCCGUUCAAAUUUUAAGUCUGUUCGACUUUUAAAUUCUUACAUGAUCUGAGUUCAAACCGGCGUAAGCCAGGUUGGUUUCUAUCUUUAAAAAAUUAUAAUAUUUUAGUACGAAAGGACCAAAUAUUAGAAUAAUUUUAUUUUAAAAUAGAAUAAUAUUAAUUAAUAUAA